GAUGAAGAACGCAGCGAAAUGCGAUAAGUAAUGUGAAUUGCAGAAUUCAGUGAAUCAUCGAAUCUUUGAACGCACAUUGCGCCCGCUAGUAUUCUGGCGGGCAUGCCUGUCCGAGCGUCAUUUCAACCCUCAAGCCCCCGGGCUUGGUGUUGGGCGUCGCCGGGGAGUCUUCUCCGGCGUGCCUCAAAGCUAUCGGCGGUGGUGCCUUUCUCUAAGCGUGGUAGAAUUUUUAUUCGCUUCUGAGUUGGGCUUCGCCUGCCGGACAAACCGGGUCCUCGCGGCCCAUCUUCUCAGGUUGACCUCGGAUCAGGUAGGGAUACCCGCUGAACUUAAGCAUAUCAAUAAGCGGAGGA
rnacentral:misc_RNA from 1 species